UGGAACUGGGAAAGUCUCCUCGGAGGACGCAGAUCUCACCGGCCCACCUUCUUGCUCUGCUGAGAAAGAAGGUGUCUGCAAGAGGCAAAGAAAAGGACGAGCAUCUUCCUUCGCUCAGCAGACCACGGCGUGAGUUGCUUUGGGUCACCAUCAUACCAUCUACCACCUUCGUGGGAGCCAGACCCAGAGAGAGAACCAUGCUUUCUCCGACUGAGGCCAGACCAAGACUCUGCACAGGGGAAUAAUUCGGUGCCCCUUCACACAGGGGAAAAAAUGGAUUUCCGACCAGAUCAGCAUUUGGCUUCAAGUCACAGAGAGGUGUAAAACAAGACAGAGGUAUAUUCCUCUCUCACCAGCAGACUGUGCCUGACGUGGGAGCUCUGCUUUAUGAAGUCCUUAGGGACCCAGGCUCUUUCUAUCCUACUGCUCUGCCAGGCAUAGCCUCCCAUCCCUAGGUCACGUCAUGAUCCAAGCUGACUGCUGCAGUGACAUUCCGGCCAGCAGAGAGGAGAAAAGGAUCAAGAAGGAGCAGUAG
rnacentral:lncRNA from 12 species